rnacentral:rRNA from 1 species
UCCUACGGGAGGCAGCAGUGAGGAAUAUUGCGCAAUGGGGGCAACCCUGACGCAGCGACGCCGCGUGGAUGAUGAAGGCCUUCGGGUUGUAAAAUCCUGUCAGAUGGGAAGAAGUGGUAAAUGUCCAAUACACAUUUAUCUUGACGGUACCAUUGAAGGAAGCACCGGCUAACUCCGUGCCAGCAGCCGCGGUAAUACGGAGGGUGCAAGCGUUGUUCGGAAUUACUGGGCGUAAAGCGCGCGUAGGCGGCUAUCUAAGUCAGAUGUGAAACCCCGCGGCUCAACCGUGGAAGUGCAUUUAAAACGGGGUAACUUGAGUACUGGAGGGGGUACUGAAAUUCCCGGUGUACGGGUGAAGUUCAGAGAUUUCCGGAGGAACCCGGUGGCAAAGGCG